rnacentral:rRNA from 1 species
AACGCUAGCUACAGGCUUAACACAUGCAAGUCGAGGGGCAGCAUGAACUUAGCUUGCUAAGUUUGAUGGCGACCGGCGCACGGGUGAGUAACACGUAUCCAACCUGCCGAUGACUCGGGGAUAGCCUUUCGAAAGAAAGAUUAAUACCCGAUGGCAUAGUUCUUCCGCAUGGUAGAACUAUUAAAGAAUUUCGGUCAUCGAUGGGGAUGCGUUCCAUUAGGUUGUUGGCGGGGUAACGGCCCACCAAGACAUCGAUGGAUAGGGGUUCUGAGAGGAAGGUCCCCCACAUUGGAACUGAGACACGGUCCAAACUCCUACGGGAGGCAGCAGUGAGGAAUAUUGGUCAAUGGACGAGAGUCUGAACCAGCCAAGUAGCGUGAAGGAUGACUGCCCUAUGGGUUGUAAACUUCUUUUAUAUGGGAAUAAAGUGAGCCACGUGUGGCUUUUUGUAUGUACCAUACGAAUAAGGAUCGGCUAACUCCGUGCCAGCAGCCGCGGUAAUACGGAGGAUCCAAGCGUUAUCCGGAUUUAUUGGGUUUAAAGGGAGCGUAGGCGGAUUAUUAAGUCAGUUGUGAAAGUUUGCGGCUCAACCGUAAAAUUGCAGUUGAUACUGGAUAUCUUGAGUGCAGCUGAGGCAGGCGGAAUUCGUGGUGUAGCGGUGAAAUGCUUAGAUAUCACGAAGAACUCCGAUUG